GCAGAUACCAAAUCUGUUAAUACUGAUCUUGGACUUCCCAGUCUCCAGAACUGUGAGAAAUUUUGUGUGAAAUAAAUUUCUACUGUUUAUAAGCUACCUAAGCCAGGCAUGUGUACCUGUAGUCCCAGCUACUUGGGAGGCUGAGGCAGGUGGAUUGCACGAGCCCAGGAGUUCGAGGUGGUAUGCAGUGGCACGAUCUUGGCUCGCUGUAACCUCUGCCUCCUGGAUUCAAGUGAUUCUUCUGCCUCAGCCACCCGAGUAGCUGAGAUUACCGACGUGCACCACCAUGCCUAGCUAAUUUUUUGUAUUUUUGGUAGAGAUGGGGUUUCACCAUGCCGACCAGGCUGGUCUUGAACUCCUGACCUCGUGAUCUGCCUGCCUCAGCCUCCUAAAGUGCUGGGAUUACAGGCGUGAGCCACCACGCCUGGCCAGAAGUUUUUAAUAUUAAUGAAGUCUACCUUACCAAUUUUUUCUUUUGUGUAUUGUGCAUUUGAUAUUGUCUCAAAGUCAUUGCCAUUCCUAAGGUCAUCUAAGUUUUCUCCUAUGUUAUAUUCUAGUUUUAUACAUUUGCAUUUUACAUUUAGAUCUGUAAUCUGUUUUGAGUUAAUUUUUUUGAUAGGUAUAAAGUCUGUGUCUAGAUUAAUUUGCAUGCAGAUGUCAGUUGUCAUUUG
rnacentral:lncRNA from 10 species